GCCCAGUUGGCCACCGACACCCACCUCUUACCAAGAGGUACCGGGUUCGAACCUUGGGGCGAACAAAGUACCCUCAAAGGGUCGGCUCGGCAAGGGUAUUUACUGCCAGGCUCAGGCUUGUCGGGUGGCGGCCUGGGAGGGGUUAUCCCCUCCGCGGUCAGGGGUACCGUGCAUUACCCUUUUUUUUUUUGCACGUGAUUCCGGAGUGAUGAUAUGGAGACUGAACAAAAGGUUGUAGACAUACCGCCACCCGCAAGCCAGAACGAAACUUUGACUCAGUUGAUUGGUCAACCUGCCUAAACCUGAACAACUUUCUGCAGAAGACAUAUCAGCAGCUGCUUGUGAUGAUAAACCAAAUCGUUUGGCAGUGGGCCGCCUUUAUAACGACAUGUGCAAGAUAAUCGAGGAAAACACUGUUGAUUCAGUAGAAACAUAUAUUGCCAACAAACCUGCGAGUUUCAAGCUGAAAAAGAACCUUCAACCACUAGAAUCAAUACAUCAAGAAAUCAUCAAAACCAUCUCACCCGUAAUGAAAACCGAGAAGAGCAAUGGUGACGUCGCGACUUCAAGUCCACAUCAGCAUGAACCGGGUCCAGUCAACGGGACUGCGACUGCUGAUGUGUACGAGGAAUAUAAACUAACAGUUACAUCAUACUUUCCAAAUUGUGUGUACGAGGAUCUUACUCUCAUAUCUCAAGUCCCAAUCGAAUAAUCAAACACAAGA